UACGUAGGGGGCGAGCGUUGUCCGGAUUCAUUGGGCGUAAAGCGCGCGUAGGCGGCAGGGCAAGUCGGCCGUGAAAUCUCCCAGCUUAACUGGGAGGGGUCGGGCGAGACUGCCCCGCUAGAGGCGGGUAGAGGGCAGUGGAAUUCCGGGUGUAGUGGUGGAAUGCGUAGAGAUCCGGAGGAACACCAGUGGCGAAGGCGGCUGCCUGGGCCUGGCCUGACGCUGAGGCGCGAAAGCGUGGGGAGCGAACAGG
rnacentral:rRNA from 1 species